UCAACUAAGCGAAACUAGAUGAUGACUUUCGGUUUACUUUUUUUUUUCAGUUAGAAUAAUUUGAAUUUUGAAUUUGUUUAAAAUGGUGAAACCAAAACAAUAAUAAAUUUUUUAAUUUUCACGACAUUUUUUUUAACUACAAAUUCUUAUCUUCUUAUCACAAUUACCAAGACAAAGAAUGUAAACGCAGUUAUCGGCCGGAAACAAAAGUACGACGACGGAGACGUUGUUUGAUAAUAACAUCUCGUCUACUUGAUUCCUCUCUCGUCUACGCCAUAGCUCCUCCACGCCAAGCUCUAUGGUCUUCAAUUCUUGGUUCCACCUGUUGUAUACACCACAGCUCCUACUCGCCGUGCUAUCUGACCCUCCUCCGUGACCUGCUUCUCACCGCCGACUCACGUCUGCGCCAAUCUGCCAUGGCAAACUUCUCCACCAUGGGAUCUCCUAGUCGCUGCCUCAUCCGCCGUACAAGCAAUACCUCCACGUCGUUCCACCGCGCCCAGCUCCACCGCCGUUGCCAUCCAGAGUCGUCGUCACUCGGGUUCUCUGGAUCGAGAGCUCAGCGACAAUGGAUAAUUUUCUCAUAAUUUAACCAAUCAAAAGGUGCUUGUAAAGUUCAUGGAAAAUGCAGAUUGUUUUGAGUCCAGCUCAUGAUUGGUUAUCAGCUAAACGUUGUUGAUAGUAGUGGAAUCACUCUUAGCACUGUUCAAGAGGAGGUGAAGUUAAUGUGCCUCAAGUUCUAUGUAUAGCAAUAACUACUGCAAUUUCAAUACUUUUCUUUUUGAAUUAGUUGUGUACACUAUUUGCAAUUUUGAUACAUUUGAUAUUUCAGAAAGCAUCAUUAUUUUUGUAUGACACGUUUUCUUAGUCAAUAUCAAUUUACAUAUGAAUAAAUUA